rnacentral:tRNA from 1 species
GCCCAGGUGGCGGAACUGGUAGACGCGCUAGCUUGAGGGGCUAGUGGACAUUAUCUGUCCGUGGAAGUUCGAGUCUUCUCCUGGGCACCA